CAUUGGUCUGUCCCUCUAUCUAAUUCAUCAAUCAGUCGAUCUUUCCCAUUCUUCUUCUCAGCUGUCCACCCUAGAAAAUCAGAACAAGUGGUUGCUGGAAAGCAAAGCAUAUGAUGGUGUCCCUGUGAUGUUCAGGUGGCUCAGAAGAUGUAUUUGGUUCAAGAUUGGAGGGGGAGUGGCAGACCUCUACUUUGGCCAGUGAGCUGUCCACCCUAGAAAAUCAGAACAAGUGGUUGCUGGCAAGCAAAGCAUAUGAUGGUGUCCCUGUGAUGUUCAGGUGGCUCAGAAGAUGUAUUUGGUUCAAGAUUGGAGGGGGAGUGGCAGACCUCUACUUUGGCCAGUGAGAUGGCCAAGGAGAUACACCCCUUCCUUUAUGCUGCAGAUGCCAAGAACCAGCCCCAUGGCCUGGGGCAAGCCUCCUGCCCAAAUCCCUUGUUUCUGUCCUCACUGCUGUCAAAUGAUAGCUAAACCCCAGCAUGGAGGCAUGCUGUGUUGCCUUCCUCCCAAGGAGCAGAUUUUGCAAGCAAGCUCUCCCACCUUGGCUGCCUCCUGACCACAGUCAACAUGACUUUCACAUCAAUAAAAUGUCCCCUUUUCUUUUGAAGCCA
rnacentral:lncRNA from 1 species